ensembl:lncRNA
CUAGUCCUCUCUGCUCUUAUUGAUUGGUUGGACCAAUCAACUGACCCCAUUCUGGCCAAUGAGAUAAAAGGGCUGCUCUGGAACGGGUUUUCUCUUUUGUCAUCCUGCUGCUGCUGCUGCUGCUGCUGCUGCUGCUAAGUCGCUUCAGUUGUGUCCGUCUCUCACCAGGCUCCCUCGUCCCUGGCAUUCUCCAGGCAAGAACACUGGAGUGGGUUGCCAUUUCCUUCUCCAAUGCGUGAAAGUGAAAAGUGAAAGUGAAGUCGCUCAGUUGUGUCCGACUCUUCGCGACCCCAUGGACGGCAGCCUACCAGGCUUCUCCGUCCAUGGGAUUUUCCAGGCAAGAGUACUGGAGUGGGUCGCCAGUGCCUUCUCCCGCUUUUGUCAUAAAGGAGAGGAAAAGGGGUUGAUGGUUUCGCCUUUUCUUCUCACCUUUAAGUGUGUUUUUUGAGGUGAUAGUGGUUAGAGCUCGAGGGACAAUAUUUCUAAUUCACUGAGGAUGAAAUGGAGUGCACGGACGAAGGACACCUUGGAGCAACAGAACCAAUUGCUCUGCUGACUCUUCUGGGCUCCUCGUUCUGUGAGAUGAACUUUCAGCCUGAAGCCUGACGUCCCUGUCCAGAGGAGGGGCAGUGGCCGUGGGAGACUGCUGGUGCUGAGGUGGAUUCUUAACCACUGGACCACCGGGGAAGUCCCUCUUCUCUUCUCUUUUGUCAAACUAGAAAUCCUCUGAGGUGUGUGUGUGAGUGUAAGUGAAGGAGGAAAGGAACAGGCCGAGCUAACGCCAUCUUGAAAAAGAAGGAAACUCCAUCUUACAUUCCCAGUCAACUUUGGACUACGUGCCUGGUAGCCAUGGAGAUCACAUACCUAUGGCCGAACAGACCUCCUGGACUGAUAGACACCAGAUUCCAUACCAAGAUUUCCCUUCUCCAGAGAGAAUGUAAUAAUCCCCUGUGUACUCAAUCACCUUUGUAAUCUAUGCCACCCAUUGGUGUAGGUUACAUUGUAUAACCAGCUGACUCUUCUGAUUAUGAAUCAUGGCUGUAACCUGAUUGUAUCUCCCUUUAACAUUUUCCAGGCUAGGUCUAAGGAAUUUAGGGAUGUGAGCUUGAGCAUGUACACUUAAGGCAUGUAAGGUUUUCACAAAAGUCGGUCGGGGUCCCUGGCUAAAGGGAAUACUCUGCCUUGGACCUGCCGGUGUAAUAA